AACUCUAGUUUUCGACCAAAAACUAUAGUUUUUCUCAAAAAAACUAUAGUUUUUGGUCGAAAACUAUAGUU